CAGCAGCCGCCACGGUAAUACGUAGGGUGCGAGCGUUGUUCGGAAUUAUUGGGCGUAAAGGGCUCGCAGGCGGUUUCUUAAGUCUGAUGUGAAAGCCCCCGGCUCAACCGGGGAGGGUCAUUGGAAACUGGGAAACUUGAGUGCAGAAGAGGAGAGUGGAAUUCCACGUGUAGCGGUGAAAUGCGUAGAGAUGUGGAGGAACACCAGUGGCGAAGGCGACUCUCUGGUCUGUAACUGACGCUGAGGAGCGAAAGCGUGGGGAGCGAACAGGAUUAGAUACCCCCGUAGUCCCUGUCUCUUAUAC
rnacentral:rRNA from 1 species